GCACUAGUUUCAGCAGUGCAAAUACUAAAACUGGAGCGCUACAGACAAGAUUAGCCUGGCCCCUGAACAAGGAUGACGCAAAUUCGUGAAGCGUUUCAUGUUUGU